CACACUAAUGUGGAGCAGUCGUUUUGUCACAACAGUAUGUGUGCGUGGUGAGACGGUGAGAGACACUCACUUUGCUUUCUCCGCCGCACGCCGCCGGCCGCCUUGUGUGGAGCAGGGCGCACGCCGCCGGCUGCCUUCUCUCGAGCAGGGCGCAUCCUCUCCCGCCACGACGUCUUCUGCCCCCCCUCCCCCUCCCCGCACCACCACCACCACCACCACGGCCUCACCCCGUCUCCUAUCCCCACGACGGCCUCGCCUCGCCGGCUCUUAUCCCCACCACGGCCUCGCCCCGCCGCCUCCUCUCACCACCGCGGACUUGUCUCGCCGCCAACCCCGUGGAUCUUCCCUAGAUCGACUCUGCCGCCGCCAUCAUACUGCCGCAGAGCAGAUCGAGAUGCGAGAUGCUGGACACGAUGCGGGAGCAGGCAUCUUGAAUUGGACCGAGAUCCAGUGCGUCGACCUCACACAGUCUCUCCGGGAAGGAGUUCGCAGCUCGCGUAGGUGUUCGGUUGCUGAAGGCACCUUCACCACAUUGUCAUUCAUUUGUGAGAUGUUUCUGUUUCUCUAUGUUGGCAUGGAUGCAUUGGAUAUAGAGAUUUGGAAGAUUGUUAGCGGAACACAUAUACAGGCAACUGCGGGGACUACCAACAGGCGGCGUACCUGCUACGUGUUGGUGAUGAGCAAGCUAGCCAAGGGGCAGCAUAGUGAAUCGAUGAAGAAGCUGGAAUCCUAAUAGGAGGAAUAUUUUCAACUAGUUUGUCGCAUGUUGGAGGAGGCUUGAAGUGGCGGUCGUAACACAGUCAGUUGGGAGGACCCAACGCCAGAGUCAAAAUUGUUGACAUUUUCUUUGUUAGAAACGGCUGUAUCUGGUGUUCUUAAUGAAGCUGGACCAUGAAGUGGAGUUAGAUCACUCAUUAUCACAUCAACAGUUGUAGGACAACACAUGACCUUCAGCGGCUGUUGUGUGUUGUUGGUGGGUGACAGCAGACUGCACACUUGGCCUCUCCACAGUGUCUAAAUCUGUCAGAAAUAACACUUAAUCAACAUGAUUUUACUUGUCAUUCACGACAUGCAUGAUAAAGGACAGGUAAAAUGGAGUAACCAGGUGACAUGGCCCCGGAUGGCUUUGAUGGAGUGUUGGUUCCAGUUACAAUAGCGGUGGGGUGAUGACACCGGAGGUAGGGCAGCACGCCGGCUGGAGGCCGUCCACCGGGUGGAGGACGUCGCGGGCGCCUGGGGCGAGGGCGGCAUCGCGAAGAUGCCGGGGUGAGGAGAGGCAGCAAGUUGGGUGGAGGAUGUCCAGCGGGUCGAGGACGUCGCGGAGACCAGGGGCGAGGACGGCGGGGCGGCUGGCCGAGCGAGGCGGGGCUGAUGGCCGAGGGAAAAUAAUGUUUGGUCUUUUAAUAGUAAGUAUAGAUAUAGAUAUAGAUAUAGAUAUAGAAUAGAAGAAUAGAAGUAUAGAAGCCCCGGUUCCCUCCUUCGGCCAUGGGUUGUCAAAAAACUCGGAAAUUGUAUCCAGAGUCCAAGACACGUUCCAUCUUCGUUUUCUUUCUCCUCUUUCCCCACUAGACAAAUUGUGAAAACUUUCAUAGAAAUUUUAAUGGAUGCUUAUCAAGCUAGUAUAUGCAAACUUACC